GACUGUGGCUUUCAAAUGACAAAACCCUUGUCCAGAGAAUGCCACUGGGUGUGCAGCUGGAGCGAGGAUGAGCACAUCUGCCCUGCUUCUGUCUGAAUUCUUGAUGUGGAUAAGACCUCUUGCAAUGCCGUGGAGGAUGAGAUUUCCCGUCCUUUCUGUCACCCCCUGUCCUCAGUGGCGCGAUUAAAGAGCGCAUUCCCUGCACCGCACACCGGAGCACACACUGCUGACUCCCGACUGACUUCCAGCCUGCUCCCCAAACCGAGAGCAGCUCAGCUGGGAGCAGAGUGCAUUGGAGAGGCUCCUGCAGAUGUCUGCUGUUUGCUUUUCGUUUUUGCUCUUGGAAGAGCAACAUUGCCAGCUCCGGGCUCUCCCGGCAUCACUUCAGUGCAAGCAGCCGAGUGCCAGCGCUUCUGCCAGCUCCUGCCUCCUCCCCGAGCAGCGCCUGCAACUUUUGCUGCUCCACACAACGCCGAGUCCCCGGCAAGGCAGAGCUCCUCACAGCGGAUCUGGGGUAAGAAGAGACAACUCGGGAGGGAGAGAAGGUUUCCUAACCCGGUUUAAUGGAAGCUCUUUCCUUUGCAUGCUCU